GAAACACCAGUUCGUUCCCAUACGAUCACCGAAGUUAAGCAACAUUGAACAAGGUCAGUAUCUAGAUGGGUGACUGCUUGGGAAUACCACAUAUUGUA